AUUGAACGCUGGCGGCAGGCCUAACACAUGCAAGUCGAGCGGAUGAAGGGAGCUUGCUCCUGGAUUCAGCGGCGGACGGGUGAGUAAUGCCUAGGAAUCUGCCUGGUAGUGGGGGAUAACGUCCGGAAACGGGCGCUAAUACCGCAUACGUCCUGAGGGAGAAAGUGGGGGAUCUUCGGACCUCACGCUGUCAGAUGAGCCUAGGUCGGAUUAGCUAGUUGGUGGGGUAAAGGCCUACCAAGGCGACGAUCCGUAACUGGUCUGAGAGGAUGAUCAGUCACACUGGAACUGAGACACGGUCCAGACUCCUACGGGAGGCAGCAGUGGGGAAUAUUGGACAAUGGGCGAAAGCCUGAUCCAGCCAUGCCGCGUGUGUGAAGAAGGUCUUCGGAUUGUAAAGCACUUUAAGUUGGGAGGAGGGGCAGUAAGUUAAUACCUUGCUGUUUUGACGUUACCAACAGAAUAAGCACCGGCUAACUUCGUG
rnacentral:rRNA from 1 species